CGGUGCCUCUAUUGAUUUCCUGAGCAGGUCAGGCUGGGCCAGGUGUUUCGUUUGAACUUGAUCUGACAGCUCUUUGUAACCCACAGCCCAGGCCUCUGAAAACACCGGGGAGGCUGUAGCAGGUGGCUGCGCCCCCUGCACCACCUCCGCCAAAUGUCACCAAGGAAAGAGAGAAGGGUGCCCAAAAGCUAAGGUACAGGGGAAGCCACCGGAAGAGAGCCCUGGAAGGGGCAGGAGUCACGUGGAGCCUGAACGCCAGCCUGGGGCCCUGUGGGGCUCCAAGCUCCCACAAAACCGCCCCAGUCCUGGAAGUCGGGGACUGCCAACCCACCUUGGAGGCCUGCCUCAGCCCCACUCCGGGACCUGCGUACAGAAACUUGCUUUCCUGGAUACCAGGGAUGUGCCUGCCUUUGGAGUGGUCAAGGUAAUAAAUCUGUCUCUACUCUCCCUGGCCACCCGUGUUGGUUUGGAGCUCACCAAGAAUCGAAUCCACUACGUUCAGUUACACAUACUGACAAGAAGACACAAGAAGAUGGGCACCUUCAAAGGCAACGCGAGGCUCCAGAAAAAGGUAGUCUGUUGAUGCGUGAUCGUAGAUUCCCAGACGUCAGCACUGUGAGAAGAUGUGUUUCUAGUGUAUUACCCACGCGCUAUACAUUUCUUCUUGUAUACGUGCAAAAGACUCACCAUUGUCUACACGGAGUUAAAGCAAGGCUCGGUUCUCCCAUGGGAAUGAGAGUCUAGAUGAGGCAAAGUUCAAACUCUUCUGAGCUUUCCUGUGGUGAGGACAAAACCAGCUGAAUGCCGGAGGCCAUCAUCCACCUUGCAGAGAGCAGGAAGUGGGAACAGAAGGUAACCAGGAGCCACUGGGCUGCAACCAUCUCAGAACUCUCACCCUUGGGACAGAAUUAGAUUUUUCAUAAUAGCUUCUCCUGUGCUAUUAAUAAAGUUAUACUUUAAACUAACAAA